UAGGGAAUCUUCGGCAAUGGACGAAAGUCUGACCGAGCAACGCCGCGUGAGUGAAGAAGGUUUUCGGAUCGUAAAACUCUGUUGUUAGAGAAGAACAAGGACGUUAGUAACUGAACGUCCCCUGACGGUAUCUAACCAGAAAGCCACGGCUAACUACGUGCCAGCAGCCGCGGUAAUACGUAGGUGGCAAGCGUUGUCCGGAUUUAUUGGGCGUAAAGCGAGCGCAGGCGGUUUCUUAAGUCUGAUGUGAAAGCCCCCGGCUCAACCGGGGAGG
rnacentral:rRNA from 1 species